rnacentral:misc_RNA from 1 species
AACGCACAUUGCGCCCCUUGGUAUUCCGAGGGGCAUGCCUGUUCGAGCGUCAUUAUGACCAAUCCCGUAAGGGGUCUUGGGGCUCGCCACAUAGGCGUCCCUUAAAACUAAUUGCGGUGCUAUCGUGCUCUAAGCGUAGUAAUUAUCCUCGCUAUAGAGUUCCGCUAAGUACCUGUUAAAACCCAUUAUUUAUUAGGUUGACCUCGGAUCAGGUAGGGAUACCCGCUGAACUUAA